AUUGAACGCUGGCGGCAUGCUUUACACAUGCAAGUCGAACGGUAACAGGCCGCAAGGUGCUGACGAGUGGCGAACGGGUGAGUAAUGCAUCGGAACGUGCCCAGUCGUGGGGGAUAACGCAGCGAAAGCUGCGCUAAUACCGCAUACGAUCUCUGGAUGAAAGCGGGGGACCGAAAGGCCUCGCGCGAUUGGAGCGGCCGGUGUCAGAUUAGGGAGUUGGUGGGGUAAAGGCUCACCAAGCCAACGAUCUGUAGCUGGUCUGAGAGGACGACCAGCCCCACCGGGACUGUGACACGGCCCAGACUCCUACGGGGGGCAGCAGUGGGGAAUUUUGGACAAUGGGCGCAAGCCUGAUCCAGCAAUGCGGCGGGCAGGAAGAAGGCGUUAGGGUUGUAAUCUGCUUUUGUGCGGAACGAAACGGUCCUGGUUGAUACCUGGGGCUAAUGACGGUACCGUAAGCAUAAGCACCGGCUAACUACGUGCCAGCAGCCGCGGUAA
rnacentral:rRNA from 1 species